rnacentral:rRNA from 1 species
CCUACGGGGGGCAGCAGUGGGGAAUAUUGGGCAAUGGGCGCAAGCCUGACCCAGCAACGCCGCGUGAAGGAAGAAGGCUUUCGGUUUGUAAACUUCUUUUCUCAGGGACGAAGCAAGUGACGGUACCUGAGGACUAAGCCACGGCUAACUACGUGCCAGCCGCCGCGGUAAUACGUAGGUGGCAAGCGUUAUCCGGAUUUACUGGGUGUAAAGGGCGUGUAGGCGGGAAAGCAAGUCAGAUGUGAAAACCAUGGGCUCAACCUGUGGCCUGCAUUUGAAACUGUUUUUCUUGAGUACUGGAGAGGCAGACGGAAUGCCUAGUGUAGCGGUGAAAUGCGUAGAUAUUAGGAGGAACACCAGUGGCGAAGGCGGUCUGCUGGACAGCAACUGACGCUGAGGCGCGAAAGCGUGGGGAGCAAACAGGAUUAGAUACCCGAGUAGUC